rnacentral:rRNA from 1 species
CAAUAGCGUAUAUUAAAGUUGUUGCGGUAAAAAAGCUCGUAGUUGGAUUUCUACCGAAGAUAGCCGGUCGGGUCUUCGACCUUGUAUCUGGUUUUGUCUUUGGUAUCCUCAUAGGGAACGUUUCUGCGCUUUAUUGCGUGGUGCGGUAUCUAUGACUUUUACUUUGAGGAAAUUAGAGUGUUCACGGCAGGCAAACGCCUUGAAUAUAUUAGCAUGGAAUAAUAACAUAGGAUCUUCGUCCUAUUUUGUUGGUUUCUAGGGCUAAGAUAAUGAUUAAUAGGGAUAAUUGGGGGCAUCUGUAUCAACGCGUCAAAGGUGGAAUUCUUGGAUUGCGUUGCGACAAACUACUGCGAAAGCAUUUGCCAAGGAUGUUUUCAUUGA